rnacentral:rRNA from 1 species
UACAGAGGGUGCGAGCGUUAAUCGGAAUUACUGGGCGUAAAGCGUGCGUAGACGGUUACGUAAGUCAGAUGUGAAAGCCCCGGGCUCAACCUGGGAAUUGCAUUUGAGACUGCGUAGCUAGGGUGCGGAAGAGGGAAGCGGAAUUUCCGGUGUAGCGGUGAAAUGCGUAGAUAUCGGAAGGAACACCAGUGGCGAAGGCGGCUCACUGGUCCGGUACUGACGCUGAGGUGCGAAAGCGUGGGGAGCAAACAGG